ACGGCCCUUCAUUAAGCCCCCUGUUUCCCCGGGGGGUGGAACGGCGGUAAACUCGCAACAUUCCUUAUGGGGAUACCCUGGAAACCGAUUAAUACGCAUACAUUAGUAUGGCGGGGUAAAGCCUCCCAAGGCGACGUCAUACUGCUUUAGAGGACGUCCACCCCCUGGAUUGAGACCGCCCCAGAUUCUUAGGGAGCAGCAGUGGGGAUUUUUGGACAAUGGGGAAAUCUGAUCCACAUGCCGCGUGUGUGAAGAAGCCUUCGGUUUGUAAAGCACUUUUUCCGGAAAGAAAUCCUUGCUCUAAUACAGUCGGAUGACGGUACCAGAGAAUAAGCACCGGCUAACUACGUGCCAGCAGCCGCGGUAAUACGUAGGGUGCAAGCGUUAUCGGAAUUACUGGGCGUAAAGCGUGCGCAGGCGGUUUGCUAAGUCCGAUGUGAAAUCCCCGGGCUCAACCUGGGAACUUCAUUGGUGACUGGCGGCUAGAGUAUGGCAGAGGGGGUAGAAUUCCACGUGUAGCAGUGAAAUGCGUAGAGAUUGGAGGAAUACCGAUGGCGAAGGCAGCCCCCUGGUCCAAUACUGACGCUCAUGCACGAAAGCGUGGGGAGCAAACAGGAUUAGAUACCCUGGUAGUCCACGCCCUAAACGAUGUCUACUAGUUGUUGGGGAUUCGUUUCCUUGUAAGUAGUAUCGCGGAACUUCACGCCCCGGGGAGUACGGUCCAGGAUUAAAACUCUAAGGAAUGCGGGGACCCCAUCACGCGGUGGAUGAGUGGAUUAAUUUAUGCAACCGCGAAAAACUCUUAUCCUACCCCUUAUCAUGUCCUGAAUACUGCCUGAGAAGGAGGGAGUGUCUCAAAGAGAAGCCCGGCGUCACGGUGCUGCUUGGGUUC
rnacentral:rRNA from 1 species